rnacentral:rRNA from 1 species
UACACUCCUGCGGGAGGCAGCAGUGGGGAAUAUUGCACAAUGGGCGCAAGCCUGAUGCAGCCAUGCCGCGUGUAUGAAGAAGGCCUUCGGGUUGUAAAGUACUUUCAGCGGGGAGGAAGGCGAUAAGGUUAAUAACCUUGUUGAUUGACGUUACCCGCAGAAGAGGCACCGGCUAACUCCGUGCCAGCAGCCGCGGUAAUACGGAGGGUGCAAGCGUUAAUCGGAAUUACUGGGCGUAAAGCGCACGCAGGCGGUCUGUCAAGUCGGAUGUGAAAUCCCCGGGCUCAACCUGGGAACUGCAUUCGAAACUGGCAGGCUAGAGUCUUGUAGAGGGGGGUAGAAUUCCAGGUGUAGCGGUGAAAUGCGUAGAGAUCUGGAGGAAUACCGGUGGCGAAGGCGGCCCCCUGGACAAAGACUGACGCUCAGGUGCGAAAGCGUGGGGAGCAAACAGGAUUAGAAACCCCUGUAGUCCCA